GAGCAUGUGGUUUAAUUCGAUGCAACGCGAAGAACCUUACCUACUCUUGACAUCCAGCGAAUCCUGUAGAGAUACGGGAGUGCCUUCGGGAACGCUGAGACAGGUGCUGCAUGGCUGUCGUCAGCUCGUGUUGUGAAAUGUUGGGUUAAGUCCCGCAACGAGCGCAACCCUUAUCCUUUGUUGCCAGCGGUUCGGCCGGAGGACUCAAAGGAGACUGCCAGUGAUAAACUGGAGGAAGGUGGGGAUGACGUCAAGUCAUCAUGGCCCUUACGAGUAGGGCUACACACGUGCUACAAUGGCGUAUACAAAGAGAAGCGACCUCGCGAGAGCAAGCGGACCUCAUAAAGUACGUCGUAGUCCGGAUUGGAGU
rnacentral:rRNA from 1 species